UUACGGGAGGCAGCAGUGAGGAAUAUUGGACAAUGGGCGGAAGCCUGAUCCAGCCAUGCCGCGUGCAGGAAGACGGCCCUAUGGGUUGUAAACUGCUUUUAUACGGGAAGAAUAAUCGCCACGAGUGGUGAGAUGACGGUACCGUAAGAAUAAGGACCGGCUAACUCCGUGCCAGCAGCCGCGGUAAUACGGAGGGUCCGAGCGUUAUCCGGAAUCAUUGGGUUUAAAGGGUCCGCAGGCGGGCGAUUAAGUCAGGGGUGAAAUGGUGCGGCUCAACCGUAGCACUGCCCUUGAUACUGGUUGUCUUGAGUUGUGGUGAAGUGGCCGGAAUAUGUAGUGUAGCGGUGAAAUGCAUAGAUAUUACAUAGAACACCGAUCGCGAAGGCAGGUCACUAACCACCAACUGACGCUGAUGGACGAAAGCGUGGGGAGCGAACGGGAUUAGAUACCCCGGUAGUCCACGCUGUAAACGAUGGAUACUAGCUGUCGGGGCGCAAGCCUCGGUGGCCAAGCGAAAGUGAUAAGUAUCCCACCUGGGAAGUACGUUCGCAAGAAUGAAACUCAAAUGAAUUGACGG
rnacentral:rRNA from 1 species